CAUCCAGUAGGAUAUUUUAUGGUCCCACACGCAUGCCGCAUGUGUGAAACCGUCAGCAUCAAAUCAUAAUGGAGUAUGAUUAGGAGGGGAGGCCAGUAGAAGAGACCGCACAGGAGAUGCAUUCUUUUUUUGGAGUGCUUGUGAGGUGGUCUGACAUCAUUUUCGUACUACCUGUAGACUAGCGAUUGAUGGAUGCUGGUGUCAAGGACCGAGUGUGGGAGGAGAUUUGGAUAAGUGUAUCUUAAUUAUAUAUAUGCAUAUGAUAUAUUUACACUAUGUUUGACUAGAAUAAUUUUGUAACGGACUUCUAAUAACUUUAUACAGAGGAGGAAUGACUUUUCAAAUUAUGAGAGGGCUUGAGAUGUCCGACUGCAGAAGAUUAGAGAGUUAUACCAGAACUACAAGGUCAAGCUUCAUAGAGAGUAGCUAGAGCACCAUAGGAACACUGAGGAGGAGCUUGUUCCUUGGAUCUAGGACUGUCUUUCGAGUCAAUGGGCGGAGAUGGUCAGGCAUUGGAGGAGCCAGGAGUUUUAGGCUGCCUUCCAUCAGAAUCGGGAGAAUUGGGCUACUCAGAAGUACACGCACACUCGCGAUCGUGAGUUUAUGGCCAGUUGUGUGCAUAGAGAGCUGAUGAGAGAGGGAGUGAUACCCACCCAUAGCAUCAUCUUCCGAUCUAGUCGUACGGACAAGAAGGGCAGGCUGAUCAAUACCAUAAUUGAGAGGAUUUUUGUAAGUAAUAACUAGAGUAUGAUUAGUAUAAUUAGUACUAUAGCAUUUCUUAUAAGAUUUUAUUUGAAUUUACAAUUACAAGAGCAAUUAGACGCGCUUGCGAGUGAGGGCCCG